CAGAAGGUCGGGCUUCCUGUAGGUGGACAUUUCAGGCCAAGAUCACAAGAAGCUGGUGUCAAGACCCUUCCUGGAUGCACAGAGCUCUGUGAUGAACACCGUCAUGCCUCUGAACCUGGGGACUCUGAGAGUAAGAAGGGGCUUGGGAGCCAUGGCCUCAGGCUAAGCAGAGAGCUGGUGGAGGGCUCUAUUCCUCAGUGCUGGUUCUGGUGAAAUGGGGUACACUGUUUCCAACUGGGCUGAGUGGAACCCCCAUUCACGACAAGCUGUGUGAAGGCAUCUGUAAGCUGGGACAAAGGUCCACUCCUUCUGGGGUGUGCAGGAGUGUCUGGGGAAGGACGGAUCUUGUCCGAGUGAAUGGAAAGGCAGUGUGGGCAGGUACUCUCUGAGUCAAUGGGGAAUACAUUUCUGGAAAGGA